AUCUCAAGAUGAAGAAGCAUAAAAGCAAAAGUUGUAAAUCAAAAGAUUGAGAUGUGAUUACAUUUUUAAAUUUAAAAUGUAAAAAAUACAUAGAUACCAAAAAAGAAAUACAAAAUAGAUCAGAAAUAGGACGGGAAAAAAGUUCAACACUAGAACUAAUAAGAUGAAUGAAAGUUAAAAUAACUUAUACCAACUUUAUCUAUCAAAUUGGCAACUUUUUUUUUUUAAGAAUGAUACUCCGUGGUGGAGGUGCUAAAAAUGAGUAUUUUUUUAAACUGCUGGUGGGAAUGUGUAUUGGUGUAACCCCUUUGUAGAUUCAUUUGUAAAUCUGUAAAUCAUAAAACAGCAUUUUCCAGCCUUCCUUUUCAGACAUUAAAAGAAAUAAAUACCACCUACCGUGUAGUGUUACAUAUCCGACUCCUUACCUAAAUGAUAACCAUUAAUUUUCGUAGCAGACCUAUGAGGUUUUAUCUAUAAUGAUGCCCAUUUUAUAGAUGAGAAAAAUGGGGGUUAAAUAUUUGUCAGCUGGGGACUUCCCUGGUCGCGCAGUGGUUGAGAAUCUGCCUGCCAGUGCAGGGGACACGGGUUCGAGCCCUGGUCUGGGUAGAUCCCACAUGAUGCAGAGCAGCUAAGCCUGUGCGCCACAGCUACUGAGCCUGCACUCUGGAGCCCGUGAGCCACAAGUACUGAGCCCUCGUGCCACAACUACUGAAGCCCACGCGCCUAGAGCCCGUGCUCCACAACAAGAGAAGCCACCGCAAUGAGAAGCCCGCUCACCGCAACGAAGAGUAGCCCCCACUCGCCGCAACUAGAGAAAGCCUGCGCGCAGCAAUGAAGACCCAAUACAGCCAAAAUAUAAUUAAUUAAUUAAUUUAAAAUAUAUAUAUAUAUAUUUGUCAGCUGUAUGUAUUUCAUUGUUCUGACGCUAAUUCCCAUGUGUUGUUAUUUUUUCUUUUGGUCUGAUUAGACCCCAGUAGAGAUAAUAAAAGCAUUAUUCCCCACACCCCCAAAUAAAGUUUAAAGGAAAAUCCUUAUGCAUAGUCCUUCACCUGCCUUCUGAAAUCUUCAGAGCUGCCCACUAGAGAGGGUGUGGGAGGAGUGAUAACUCUGCACUGUGAGGCCCACUGACUGAAGAAUCAUCAUCAUCAUAGCAGCACACACUUGGGCCCCCAGUCAUAGAGACAAGAAAUGACUAGACGGUUAUCUGUGUAGUUGAAAUUCCACUGGAACCCUCUAAGGAAUGGAUGGAGGCUAUGAGAAAACCCUGUGAUUUAAGAAGUUUGGAAAAUACUUCUUGAUUCCCCAGGACUCUUACCACCAAGGUAUUCCAUCCUGUCUCGUGGAUAAGCCCUGAUCACUCUAUGGCAUGUUUUGAUAUUGUAUGCCUGCCACUGGAUAUUUUUUAAAGCAUGUAUUCAGGCUUCUUGUCAUUUAUUUCAGGAUUAAAGUGUUGUUUGUGGUAUGAAAUGGGGUUUCAGAACAGUGCCCUAGUUCCUAGCCUUGUAUCUAUAGAAAAUACAUUCCAUUUUUAUGAUUCAAUUAAGGACUGUCAUCUAGGAGUCAUUUAGAUUGUAUUAUCAAGUAGGAAGUUGUGUAACUCUUGUGUUAGGGGUUCUCAGUCCUGGUUGCCAUUAGAAUCACCUGGGAAGUUUAAAAAAUGCUGCACGGUCCUCGCUUCCAGAUUCUGAUUCAGUUUGCCAAGAGGGGACAAUACAAGAAUAUUGGCAUUUUUUAAAAAGAUCCCAAGAAAUUCUAAUGUGCAGCCGGAGUUGAGAGCUGCACUAUUUGAUCCCUUGUUCAGUUGCCUUUCCAACUGGGCUACUGGCUCCACGUAGACAGGGACCAUGUCAGUCUUGUUCGUGACUGUCUUCCAGCAUCCUGCCCAGUGCCGUGGACACAUGUUUGAAAUGAAUGCAGUGAUAUCCUUGGGAGUUCAUUGAUUCAAGGCCUGAGUGGCUUUUGGGAGGAUGCUGGAGGCUCUGAGAACCAGUUUUUGCCAAGCUUGGAGGUAACUGGAGGAAGCAGGUGUGCCACAAUCUGUUUUACCAGUCUCCUACUGGUGGAUAUUGACAACGUUUCAAACAUUUGCCAUUACCAAAAAAAAAAAAAAAAAAGCUUCAGUGAACAACUAUAUGGUCAUGUCAUGUUUUGAAUACAUUUCCUGAAUGUGUCCUAGAGGCAGGCAGCGCAGAGGAGAAGAUGGAAACAAGAACAAUGACUAGCAACUACUACAUGCCUGCUGAGCAAAUGUUUUCCUUCAGAAAACUAAAAAACAUCAGCUUCCCUCCCUUUGCUUUAGUAAUUCCCCCAACUUUGCUAUACAUUGGGAUUACCUGGGUUUUAAAAUAAUUUUUUUUUUAACAUUUAUUUAUUUGGCUGCGCCCGGUCUUAGUUGCGGCACGCGGGAUCUUCCUGGAGGCAUGUGGGAUUUUUAGUUGCAGCAUGAGGACUUCUUAGUUGUGGCAUGCAUGCAGGAUCUGGUUCCCCUACCAGGGAACAAACGCGGGCUCCCUGCAUUGGGAGCACGGAGUCAUACCCACUGGACCACCAGGGAAGUCCCUUAAAAUAAUUUUUAAAAACGCUGUUGCCAGGCUCUCACCCCCAGACAUUCUGAUGUACGGGAGUGUGACCUGGGCCACAGGGAUUUUAAAAAGCUCCCCAGGUGAUUCCAAUGUCCACGAAGUUAGGGAACCCCUGGCCUAACUACUUUUCUCAGGUUUCAGCUCAGUAUUUCUUCCUUCAGGAAGGCUUCCUGAUUCCCCCUCUCUGACACCUCCACACACACCCAUGACCCUGACCCAGUCGGGUGUCCCUGCAGCACCCUGGGCUCCUGCAGCACCUGGUACUCACUGUUUCAUAAUACUGGCCACCUCAAUCAACGCUCUUCCUCAGGAAUACUGGCAGAUUCUGGAGGGCAAGACCGGUGUUCCACACACUCUUGAAUCCCUGGGGCCUGGGGCAUUGUGGGUUCACUAAGUACUAGUUAAAGGAGUGAUUUAAUUUUCUAUUGGACAUUUCCUUUUACUCAUUCUGUACAUGCCAAUUUACUUUUUCUGGUGAUAAUGUCAUUUUGUAUUGCCCACUUAAUCACACUUUCUCUAAUUUUCAUGGUAAUUGGAUAGGUGAUAAAAAUAAAGGAUUUACAUUA